GCAGCCUUUGCAGAAAAUAACAUCAAGCUGAAGAUGAAAGUAUACGACACCUAUGUGCUGAAUGAGGAACAGGAAAGAAACCACCUCGUGGAAAUUCCUGGGAGACAGUUUCAGUCAAUUGACUCAGAGAGAACCUCUGAGAGACUUAAGGGAAGAAUAGUUGAAUACCCUGGGGUCAACGAGUCCGACAUCGUCUACGUAUUUACGAGAAAGCUCCUCAGCA